rnacentral:hammerhead_ribozyme from 1 species
AUUCAACUGACGAGUCCCAAAUAGGACGAAAUGCGCGUUGUCCUGGAU